CCUACGGGAGACAGCAGUGAGGAAUAUUGGUCAAUGGGCGCGAGCCUGAACCAGCCAAGUAGCGUGAAGGAUGACUGCCCUACGGGUUGUAAACUUCUUUUAUAAAGGAAUAAAGUGAGGCACGUGUGCAUUUUUGUAUGUACUUUAUGAAUAAGAAUCGGCUAACUCUGUGCCAGCAGCCGCGGGAACACGGAGGAUCCGAGCGUUAUCCAGAUUUAUUGGGUUUAAAGGGAGCGUAGAUGGGUUGGUAAGUCAGUUGUGAAAGUUUGCGGCUCAAACGUAAAAUUGCAAUUGAUACUGGCAGCCUUGAGUACAGUUGAGGUGGGCGGAAUUCGUGGUGUAGCGGUGAAAUGCUUAGAUAUAACGAAGAACUCCGAUUGCGAAGGCAGCCUACUAAACUGCCACUGACAUUGAUGCUCGAAAGUGUGGGUAUCAAACAGGAUUAGAUACCCGAGUAGUC
rnacentral:rRNA from 1 species